GACGAACGCUUGCGGCGUGCCUAAUGUAUGCAAGUCGAGCGGGGAGCAAUCCCAGCGGCGAACGGUUGAGUAACACGUAGGCAACCUGCCGCGAAGUGGGGGACAACCCAUGGAAACGUGGGCUAAUACCGCAUGUGGCCCGGUGUCGCCUGGCAUCGGUGCUAAAGGAGUAAUCCGCUUCGCGAGGGGCCUGCGGCCUAUCAGCUUGUUGGUGAGGUAACGGCUCACCAAGGCGACGACGGGUAGCUGGUCUGAGAGGAUGAUCAGCCAGACAGGGACUGAGACACGGCCCUGACUCCUUUGGGGGCAGCAAUGAGGGAUAUUGCACAAUGGGCGAAAGCCUGAUGCAGCGACGCCGCGUGGGCG
rnacentral:rRNA from 1 species